rnacentral:snoRNA from 1 species
GUGGGGAGCCGAUGGCUGGCGCGAGACAUGGCGUUAUACACGGCGGGUGCCGA